UAGGCCUAGCCACAGCUGUCUAUAAUAUAAUGUAAAUGCACCUCUGGGAAUGAACCUGAGCAGAGCCAGAGGGUACCAGUUACAUCCAUGAACAUUUAGUCCAGACCUUGUGUUACCUGUAGAGCUGCACCAGUGCUCCUCCAUCACCUUGUACCAAUGAGAUGGGGUUCCUAUACAACGAAUUUAAGGAGUAAGGAAGUAUCUGAACCUGCUCUAUGAAUAGAUCAAGAGAAAUGACCCAAAGUGACAGUGAAGGGCCUUGGAGAAAAAUAAUGGAAUACCGGAGACAUCUUCCAGGUAGAGGCAUGUAGAGGAAAGGACAGGGAACACACAGAGGAGCCGCUCCUCAAACCUGUGGAAGCAGCAGGUCUGAACCACGCAGGGAGGAAUGUCAUAGCUGUAAGAAUCUGCCUCAUCGACUUCUUGCCACACAGGUGAAAAAUUCUAAGUGAUCUAAAUGAUCUAGAUUUCAAAAUGAUCUAGAUGAUCUAAAUGAUCGUCACGGUGAAAUAAAAUGCGGAGACAGUCAACUGUAUAACUUGCAGCAAUUCAAACGGAUGAGUCAUCUGCAUACAUGUGAUGAAAAAGAAUAAUUCUC